CCAAAUACUAUUGUUUCAGAUCGUGAUACUAAAUUUCUUAGCCACUUUUGGAGAUGUUUAUGGGCUAAGUUGGGGACUAAACUACUUUUCAGUACUACUUGUCACCCCCAAACUGAUGGACAAACUCAAGUAGUCAAUAGAACAUUGUCUACUAUGCUUCGGGCUGUUUUGAAGAAUAACAAGAAAAUGUGGGAAGAAUUCUUGCCUCAUAUUGAAUUUUCUUAUAAUCGUUCAUUGCAUUCUACUACUAAGAUGUGCCCUUUUGAAAUUGUGUAUGGUUUCCUACCUCGUGCACCUAUUGAUUUGUUGCCUCUUCCUUCUUCGGAGAAGGUUAAUUUU
rnacentral:rRNA from 1 species